AACGAACGCUGGCGGCAGGCCUAACACAUGCAAGUCGAGCGCUCUCUUCGGAGGGAGCGGCGGACGGGUGAGUAACGCGUGGGAAUAUGCCCUUUGGUACGGAACAACAGCUGGAAACGGCUGCUAAUACCGUAUGCUCCCUACGGGGGAAAGAUUUAUCGCCAAAGGAUUAGCCCGCGUUGGAUUAGGUAGUUGGUGUGGUAAUGGCGCACCAAGCCUACGAUCCAUAGCUGGUUUGAGAGGAUGAUCAGCCACACUGGGACUGAGACACGGCCCAGACUCCUACGGGAGGCAGCAGUGGGGAAUCUUGGACAAUGGGGGCAACCCUGAUCCAGCCAUGCCGCGUGAGCGAUGAAGGCCUUAGGGUUGUAAAGCUCUUUCACCGGUGAAGAUAAUGACGGUAGCCGGAGAAGAAGCCCCGGCUAAACUCCGUGCCAG
rnacentral:rRNA from 1 species